CCUAGAUCCCAUUUAAGAGCUUACUACCACUAAGGAAGGAUCUCUUUUAGAGAUGCUCCUCUUGAAGUCUUCUCAGUGAGCACAGCACAAGACUAGAAACUCUAAAGCUCAGAGGACCAACUGCAUAGCCCUACAGUUGUAUUUACUGCACCUGGCAACCUGCCACAGGCACAGAGAGGGUGGUGCAUUCUACUGAGUGAUGGAGAAACGUCACCCCUAAUGAAGGCAGAGAGCAGGACUGAAAGUGUUACAUGGGCUCUCUCAACUUGUGCUUGAUUGCUGAUGAGCUGCUUUGUCUGCCUCCUGCUACUGCCUCUGCUCUGCGGGAGCCUGCAUGGUUGGAGGAGAGUCUGCAGCCUGAUGUUGUGCUCCUGGCUGCAGUCAGCCCAUAGCUUAUGGGUGUUCAUGGGCAAGGAGCUGGUGAGCAGCCUAUGAGGAUGUCACUUUAUGAAACCAACUGCUUCCCCAUCAGCAGAGUUCCAUGCAAUUCGUAGCCCAGUGCAAACGCAUCCAAGGUAGCAUCUGGACCUGUAUCUACUGAAUGCUUUGUCUUUGAGGGGCUGGAAGCUGUUGGUGCAGCCUCCUUUGUUUGUGUGCUUGUAGAAAUAGAGAUUGGCUCUUCUUUCCUGGAUUGUAUGGCAAUAAAGUUCACAUUACAGCCAAAUUCCAGAUGCACAGAAACUCUAUUGUCUCCAGGAGAUGCUGUCCAUCCCAUCUCCUUGAAAGCCAAAAGACUACAUCUGAAAGUAUUUCAUCUUCAAAAGAGUCUGCCUCCCACAAGAAUCCGUCUAUUUGGAGCUAUGAAAAGGUAGUUGUUUGUUAGUGUUUCCUAGCAAUGGCAUAAGUAUCUUCAGGAAGAGCGCUGAAGAAUUGCAUUCCACAAAGAGGUAUUAAGAGGGUAUCUCAUCGCUCUCCUCUAGUGGAGGAAAUGCAGUGUAAAACUGCACAGCUUGCGUUGCCAGCACUGAGCUGUAAUCAAGCUCUCACCAUCCGUGUGAUUCAAGGUGUCUCCUGGUGCUCACACUUCCCAGGCAUGGCUCAGGCUGCUCUGCAAGCUAGAGCAGCUCACAGACCGGUGAUGCCAAAGGGCUGGCAAUGGCUCAUCAGGAGGGGAAGAAAACAUCACUGCAUUCAUGUUCCUUUUGUUCAGAUGCUGCACCAGCAGAGGCUUCUGCUGUGCAUGAUCUCUAUGGUGUGUGAUCUUUACAUGGAAAUACUGCUCCUUGUGCUGCUCAUGGGUCCUUUCCAAGUCCUGUGGAGCACAAAGGCUGGAGGUGGCUGCUGCAGCACACAGGAGCAUAGGAAACCUGAUUUUCUCUGAGCCAAUGGAGACAGGCUUGUCCUUCUGCCUGGAUUCCCUUGCAGCAUCACUGGCUUGAAACCUUUAAUGCUUUGCCCUCCCUCCAUUGCCAGGCAGCUACCUGUGUGCAGCUGUUGCGUUCAUCACAGGCACAGGCUCUGUGUCUCCUCUUGGCUUGGAGGAGGCAGGGAGCACAGUGGGGGCUGAGCACAGAGCCAGCUUCUGGCCACCACCUCCUGCAGGGACUGGGGUGUCCCAUAUGGCUGUGAGCUGUUCUCCAUUGCCAUGAGCACCGUGCUCACCUGGCUCACAGGCAGCAGUCCCAAAGCUGGCACACUGCUGCUGGCAAUGCUCCACUAUCUCAUACAUGCUGCAUUUUUUUCCCUUGGCACAUAUACGUAUCUGUAGUAUGGCAUAUGUUUCUUUUUUUCAUUUGAUUACAAGAGGCAUCAGAAGUUGUAUAUUGAUUUAUUGCCUACAGAAUAUGGCUGCAAGAUCCCACUGAAUCUGCUAAGUCCAUAGCUCCAGCCCCUUCAUGGGUUGCAAAUGGAGAAUGCUGUGGAUUCUCAGGGUCCCCCAUCUCCAGCCACAGAAUUAAUGCAAUAAUCUGUGUCACAGCUGGA